GACGAACGCUGGCGGCGUGCCUAAUACAUGCAAGUCGAACGAGAGCGACCGGUGCUUGCACUGGUCAAUCUAGUGGCGAACGGGUGAGUAACACGUGGGUAACCUGCUCAUCAGAGGGGGAUAACAUCCGGAAACGGAUGCUAAAACCGCAUAGGUCUUCGAGCCGCAUGGCUUGAAGAGGAAAAGAGGCGCAAGCUUCUGCUGAUGGAUGGACCCGCGGUGCAUUAGCUAGUUGGUGAGGUAACGGCUCACCAAGGCCGUGAUGCAUAGCCGACCUGAGAGGGUGAUCGGCCACAUUGGGACUGAGACACGGCCCAAACUCCUACGGGAGGCAGCAGUAGGGAAUCUUCCGCAAUGGACGCAAGUCUGACGGAGCAACGCCGCGUGAGUGAAGAAGGUUUUCGGAUCGUAAAACUCUGUCGUUAGAGAAGAACAAGUGCUAGAGUAACUGUUAGCGCCUUGACGGUAUCUAACCAGAAAGCCACGGCUAACUACGUGC
rnacentral:rRNA from 1 species